UUGAGCCUGUCUUGAGCUUUUGCUAUUGCUUUGUUCACCCAAUCAAGUUCAAGCAACACUUGGUCUCCAAGGUCUUUACAUUUUGUGCAUCCAAGGAGAGAGAGGCGUCAAGAUUGUCAAUUUCUAGUUUCAACUCUUUGGCCUUUGACUUGAUAGUGUCCACUUGAGCAUUGGCCUGACGAUUAGCCUGUCUAUCGUCUAUACACUUUUUGGCUCUCUGGACCUCAGAAUAGUGUGAUUCAGUGAAGGCUGCAGAAGUCAAUGAGGCCAUUAAUUCAUCUAUCACAUGAGUCCUGAUCUACCUAAAUAACCUUUGAAUCAGCUCAACAUUUUCUAGCAAUGUAGAUGUGUCUUGACGCAGCAGCUGUAGAAUGGUUGAUAGCUGAUCCUUUAUAACAGGAUUGUUCUGCACUGAAUGGCUU
rnacentral:lncRNA from 1 species